AUUGAACGCUGGCGGAAUGCUUUACACAUGCAAGUCGAACGGUAGCACGGACUUCGGUCUGGUGGCGAGUGGCGAACGGGUGAGUAAUGUAUCGGAACGUGCCCAGUCGUGGGGGAUAACGUAGUGAAAAUUACGCUAAUACCGCAUACGAUCUAUGGAUGAAAGCGGGGGAUCGCAAGACCUCGCGCGAUUGGAGCGGCCGAUAUCAGAUUAGGUAGUUGGUGGGGUAAAGGCCCACCAAGCCAACGAUCUGUAGCUGGUCUGAGAGGACGACCAGCCACACUGGAACUGAGACACGGUCCAGACUCCUACGGGAGGCAGCAGUGGGGAAUUUUGGACAAUGGGCGAAAGCCUGAUCCAGCCAUUCCGCGUGCAGGAUGGAGGCCCUCGGGUUGUAAACUGCUUUUGUACAGAACGAAAAGGUUUCUACUAAUACUGGGAGCUCAUGACGGUACUGUAAGAAUAAGCACCGGCUAACUACGUGCCAGCCGCCGCCGUAA
rnacentral:rRNA from 1 species